rnacentral:rRNA from 1 species
UGAACUCUGGCGGCGUGCCUAAUACAUGCACGUCGAGCGAACAGACGCGGAGCUUGCUCCUCUGACGUUAGCGGCGGACGGGUGAGUAACACGUGGAUAACCUACCUAUAAGACUGGGAUAACUUCGGGAAACCGGAGCUAAUACCGGAUAAUAUAUUGAACCGCAUGGUUCAAUAGUGAAAGACGGUUUUGCUGUCACUUAUAGAUGGAUCCGCGCCGCAUUAGCUAGUUGGUAAGGUAACGGCUUACCAAGGCAACGAUGCGUAGCCGACCUGAGAGGGUGAUCGGCCACACUGGAACUGAGACACGGUCCAGACUCCUACGGGAGGCAGCAGUAGGGAAUCUUCCGCAAUGGGCGAAAGCUUGACGGAGCAACGCCGCGUGAGUGAUGAAGGUCUUCGGAUCGUAAAACUCUGUUAUUAGGGAAGAACAAAUGUGUAAGUAACUAUGCACGUCUUGACGGUACCUAAUCAGAAAGCCACGGCUAACUACGUG